GUCCUGAUAUGUGUGUAAGGAAUGCAUUGUGUGAAUCUGUGUUUGUAUGUGUAAGGGCUGCAAGGUGUGUUUCUGUGUAUGUACGAGAUACAUUGAGUGUGUGUAAGGGGUGCAUUGAGUGUGUGUAAUGAAUGCAUUGUGUGUUUCUGUGUGUGUAAGGGAUGCAUUGUGUGAAACGGUUGCAUUGCUUGUGUAUGUGUGUCUGUGUGUGUAAUGCAGUGUGUGUAAUUCAUUG